rnacentral:rRNA from 1 species
GAUGAACGCUGGCGGCGUGCCUAAUACAUGCAAGUCGAGCGAACAGAUGAGGAGCUUGCUCCUCUGACGUUAGCGGCGGACGGGUGAGUAACACGUGGAUAACCUACCUAUAAGACUGGGAUAACUUCGUGAAACCGGAGCUAAUACCGGAUAAUAUGUUGAACCGCAUGAUUCAAUAGUUAAAGACGGUUUUGCUGUCACUUAGAGAUGGAUCCGCGCCGCAUUAGCUAGUUGGUAAGGUAACGGCUCACCAAGGCAACGAUGCGUAGCCGACCUGAGAGGGUGAUCGGCCACACUGGAACUGAGACACGGUCCAGACUCCUACGGGAGGCAGCAGUAGGGAAUCUUCCGCAAUGGGCGAAAGCCUGACGGAGCAACGCCGCGUGAGUGAUGAAGGUCUUCGGAUCGUAAAACUCUGUUAUUAGGGAAGAACAAAUGUGUAAGUAACUAUGCACGUCUUGACGGUACCUAAUCAGAAAGCCACGGCUAACUACGUG